AAACAAGAUCUCAAUACGGAAAAGGAAGCAGUACACAGGCAAAGCAAAUAUCUGGACACAGUUAAAGAAACAAUCAACAAAGACAACCUUGAUUUGGAUAUCAUGAGGUCUGAAAUCCAGAAAGAAACAGAGGCACUGGAAAGAGAGAAAGAAAAGAUCCGGGAACAAACUGAGAUACUAGAAAGAGAUCAAUCUUUUGUGAUAGUAGAAAAAGAAAGACUUGAAAUGGCAAAGGCGGAACUCCAAGAAAAGCAAGACAAAGUUCACGGUCUACAGAGCGAUUUGAACAGUGACAGAGAAAAGAUGGACCAUUUACUUCUUGAAGGCCAAAAGAAAAUCCAAGAACUUCAUAAAGAGAUACAACACAUGAACCAAAAACAGAAACAACAAGAGCUUCUAGACAGUGACCUGAAACGAUUGACUGAUGAUCUCCAAAUUGGGCAGGAAAAUCUAAUAAAACAACAGGAGGAAGUUCAACGUUUUAAGAGUGAUGUCAUGAAUAAGAAGGAGGAGCUUAAAGUGAUCAUGGAAAGAAUCUUUGAAGAGACAGCACAGCUUGAACAAGAGAAGCUUGAUAUUCAUGAAGAGCGAAGAAAGGCCUUGGACGAAAGGACGAUGCUAGAAAGAGAUUGGUCGGAAGUAAGGAUGAGAGAAGAAGAGGCCAUGCAAACGAUAAGACACAACAAAAAUAUGAAAGAGGCAAUAAAAGAGUUGGUUGAAAAGACACAUCAAGACAUUACAAUGAAGAUGCAAUUCAUAGAGCAGAAUAUUCUGGAUGCACAAAAUCAGACAACUAACUUGGAAAUUCAGCAAAAAGAAAUGGAAGAGCAGAAAUUGGAGAUUGACACACAUUUUGAACAAAUACAAAGACACAGAGAAGAUCUGAUCUAUAUGAAAUCGGACAUGAUGAUACAAAAAGAAGAAAUGCAAAAGAAUUGGAACGAGGAGCUGCUAUUGGAGAAACAAGAUCUCAACACGGAAAAGGAAGCAGUAGACAGGCAAAGCAAAUAUCUGGACACAGUUAAAGAAACAAUCAACAAAGACAACCUUGAUUUGGAUAUCAUGAGGUCUGAAAUCCAGAAAGAAACAGAGGCACUGGAAAGAGAGAAAGAAAAGAUCCGGGAACAAACUGAGAUACUAGAAAGAGAUCAAUCUUUUGUGAAAGUAGAAAAAGAAAGACUUGAAAUGGCAAAGGCGGAACUCCAAGAAAAGCAAGACAAAGUUCACGGUCUACAGAGCGAUUUGAACAGUGACAGAGAAAAGAUGGACCAUUUACUUCUUGAAGGCCAAAAGAAAAUCCAAGAACUUCAUAAAGAGAUACAACACAUGGCCCAAAAACAGAAACAACAAGAGCUUCUAGACAGUGACCUGAAACGAUUGACUGAUGAUCUCCAAAUUGGGCAGGAAAAUCUAAUAAAACAACAGGAGGAAGUUCAACGUUUUAAGAGUGAUGUCAUGAAUAAGAAGGAGGAGCUUAAAGUGAUCAUGGAAAGAAUCUUUGAAGAGACAGCACAGCUUGAACAAGAGAAGCUUGAUAUUCAUGAAGAGCGAAGAAAGGCCUUGGACGAAAGGACGAUGCUAGAAAGAGAUUGGUCGGAAGUAAGGAUGAGAGAAGAAGAGGCCAUGCAAACGAUAAGACACAACACAAAUAUGAAAGAGGCAAUAAAAGAGUUGGUUGAAAAGACACAUCAAGACAUUACAAUGAAGAUGCAAUUCAUAGAGCAGAAGAUUCUGGAUGCACAAAAUCAGACAACUAACUUGGAAAUUCAGCAAAAAGAAAUGGAAGAGCAGAAAUUGGAGAUUGAAACAAACUUUGAACAAAUACAAAGACACAGAGAAGAUCUGAUCAAUAUGAGAUCCGACAUGAUGGUACAAAAAAAAGAAAUGCAAAAGAAUUGGAACGAGGAGCUGCUACUGGAGAAACAAGAUCUCAAUACGGAAAAGGAAGCAGUAGACAGGCAAAGCAAAUAUCUGGACACAGUUAAAGAAACAAUCAACAAAGACAACCUUGAUUUGGAUAUCAUGAGGUCUGAAAUCCAGAAAGAAACAGAGGCACUGGAAAGAGAGGAAGAAAAGAUCCGGGAACAAACUGAGAUACUAGAAAGAGAUCAAUCUUUUGUGAUAGUAGAAAAAGAAAGACUUGAAAUGGCAAAGGCGGAACUCCAAGAAAAGCAAGACAAAGUUCACGGUCUACAGAGCGAUUUGAACAGUGACAGAGAAAAGAUGGACCAUUUACUUCUUGAAGGCCAAAAGAAAAUCCAAGAACUUCAUAAAGAGAUACAACACAUGGCCCAAAAACAGAAACAACAAGAGCUUCUAGACAGUGACCUGAAACAAUUGACUGAUGAUCUCCAAAUUGGGCAGGAAAAUCUAAUUAAACAACAGGAGGAAGUUCAACGUUUUAAGAGUGAUGUCAUGAAUAAGAAGGAGGAGCUUAAAGUGAUCAUGGAAAGAAUCUUUGAAGAGACAGCACAGCUUGAACAAGAGAAGCUUGAUAUUCAUGAAGAGCGAAGAAAGGCCUUGGACGAAAGGACGAUGCUAGAAAGAGAUUUGUCGGAAGUAAGGAUGAGAGAAGAAGAGGCCAUGCAAACGAUAAGACACAACACAAAUAUGAAAGAGGCAAUAAAAGAGUUGGUUGAAAAGACACAUCAAGACAUUACAAUGAAGAUGCAAUUCAUAGAGCAGAAGAUUCUCGAUGCACAAAAUCAGACAACUAACUUGGAAGUUCAGCAAAAAGAAAUGGAAGAGCAGAAAUUGGAGAUUGACACACACUUUGAACAAAUACAAAGACACAGGGAAGAUCUGAUCAAUUUGAAAUCGGACAUGAUGGUACAAAAACAAGAAAUGCAAAAGAAUUGGAACGAGGAGCUGCUACUGGAGAAACAAGAUCUCAAUACGGAAAAGGAAGCAGUAGACAGGCAAAGCAAAUAUCUGGACACAGUUAAAGAAACAAUCAACAAAGACAACCUUGACUUGGAUAUCAUGAGGUCUGAAAUCCAGAAAGAAACAGAGGCACUGGAAAGAGAGAAAGAAAAGAUCCGGGAACAAACUGAGAUACUAGAAAGAGAUCAAUCUUUUGUGAUAGUAGAAAAAGAAAGACUUGAAAUGGCAAAGGCGGAACUCCAAGAAAAGCAAGACAAAGUUCACGGUCUACAGAGCGAUUUGAACAGUGACAGAGAAAAGAUGGACCAUUUACUUCUUGAAGGCCAAAAGAAAAUCCAAGAACUUCAUAAAGAGAUCCAACACAUGAACCAAAAACAGAAACAACAAGAGCUUCUAGACAGUGAACUGAAACGAUUGACUGAUGAUCUCCAAAUUGGGCAGGAAAAUCUAAUAAAACAACAGGAGGAAGUUCAACGUUUUAAGAGUGAUGUCAUGAAUAAGAAGGAGGAGCUUAAAGUGAUCAUGGAAAGAAUCUUUGAAGAGACAGCACAGCUUGAACAAGAGAAGCUUGAUAUUCAUGAAGAGCGAAGAAAGGCCUUGGACGAAAGGACGAUGCUAGAAAGAGAUUGGUCGGAAGUAAGGAUGAGAGAAGAAGAGGCCAUGCAAACGAUAAGACACAACACAAAUAUGAAAGAGGCAAUAAAAGAGUUGGUUGAAAAGACACAUCAAGACAUUACAAUGAAGAUGCAAUUCAUAGAGCAGAAUAUUCUGGAUGCACAAAAUCAGACAACUAACUUGGAAAUUCAGCAAAAAGAAAUGGAAGAGCAGAAAUUGGAGAUUGACACACAUUUUGAACAAAUACAAAGACACAGAGAAGAUCUGAUCUAUAUGAAAUCGGACAUGAUGAUACAAAAAGAAGAAAUGCAAAAGAAUUGGAACGAGGAGCUGCUACUGGAGAAACAAGAUCUCAACACGGAAAAGGAAGCAGUAGACAGGCAAAGCAAAUAUCUGGACACAGUUAAAGAAACAAUCAACAAAGACAACCUUGAUUUGGAUAUCAUGAGGUCUGAAAUCCAGAAUGAAACAGAGGCACUGGAAAGAGAGAAAGAAAAGAUCCGGGAACAAACUGAGAUACUAGAAAGAGAUCAAUCUUUUGUGAAAGUAGAAAAAGAAAGACUUGAAAUGUCAAAGGCGGAACUCCAAGAAAAGCAAGACAAAGUUCAUGGUCUACAGAGCGAUUUGAACAGUGACAGAGAAAAGAUGGACCAUUUACUUCUUGAAGGCCAAAAGAAAAUCCAAGAACUUCAUAAAGAGAUACAACACAUGGCCCAAAAACAGAAACAACAAGAGCUUCUAGACAGUGACCUGAAACGAUUGACUGAUGAUCUCCAAAUUGGGCAGGGAAAUCUAAUAAAACAACAGGAGGAAGUUCAACGUUUUAAGAGUGAUGUCAUGAAUAAGAAGGAGGAGCUUAAAGUGAUCAUGGAAAGAAUCUUUGAAGAGACAGCACAGCUUGAACAAGAGAAGCUUGAUAUUCAUGAAGAGCGAAGAAAGGCCUUGGACGAAAGGACGAUGCUAGAAAGAGAUUUGUCUGAAGUAAGGAUGAGAGAAGAAGAGGCCAUGCAAACGAUAAGACACAACACAAAUAUGAAAGAGGCAAUAAAAGAGUUGGUUGAAAAGACACAUCAAGACAUUACAAUGAAGAUGCAAUUCAUAGAGCAGAAGAUUCUCGAUGCACAAAAUCAGACAACUAACUUGGAAGUUCAGCAAAAAGAAAUGGAAGAGCAGAAAUUGGAGAUUGACACACACUUUGAACAAAUACAAAGACACAGGGAAGAUCUGAUUAAUCUGAAAUCGGACAUGAUGGUACAAAAACAAGAAAUGCAAAAGAAUUGGAACGAGGAGCUGCUACUGGAGAAACAAGAUCUCAAUACGGAAAAGGAAGCAGUAGACAGGCAAAGCAAAUAUCUGGACACAGUUAAAGAAACAAUCAACAAAGACAACCUUGACUUGGAUAUCAUGAGGUCUGAAAUCCAGAAAGAAACAGAGGCACUGGAAAGAGAGAAAGAAAAGAUCCGGGAACAAACUGAGAUACUAGAAAGAGAUCAAUCUUUUGUGAUAGUAGAAAAAGAAAGACUUGAAAUGGCAAAGGCGGAACUCCAAGAAAAGCAAGACAAAGUUCACGGUCUACAGAGCGAUUUGAACAGUGACAGAGAAAAGAUGGACCAUUUACUUCUUGAAGGCCAAAAGAAAAUCCAAGAACUUCAUAAAGAGAUACAACACAUGGCCCAAAAACAGAAACAACAAGAGCUUCUAGACAGUGACCUGAAACGAUUGACUGAUGAUCUCCAAAUUGGGCAGGAAAAUCUAAUAAAACAACAGGAGGAAGUUCAACGUUUUAAGAGUGAUGUCCUGAAUAAGAAGGAGGAGCUUAAAGUGAUCAUGGAAAGAAUCUUUGAAGAGACAGCACAGCUUGAACAAGAGAAGCUUGAUAUUCAUGAAGAGCGAAGAAAGGCCUUGGACGAAAGGACGAUGCUAGAAAGAGAUUGGUCGGAAGUAAGGAUGAGAGAAGAAGAGGCCAUGCAAACGAUAAGACACAACACAAAUAUGAAAGAGGCAAUAAAAGAGUUGGUUGAAAAGACACAUCAAGACAUUACAAUGAAGAUGCAAUUCAUAGAGCAGAAGAUUCUGGAUGCACAAAAUCAGACAACUAACUUGGAAAUUCAGCAAAAAGAAAUGGAAGAGCAGAAAUUGGAGAUUGAAACAAACUUUGAACAAAUACAAAGACACAGAGAAGAUCUGAUCAAUAUGAGAUCCGACAUGAUGGUACAAAAACAAGAAAUGCAAAAGAAUUGGAACGAGAAGCUGCUACUGGAGAAACAAGAUCUCAAUACGGAAAAGGAAGCAGUAGACAGGCAAAGCAAAUAUCUGGACACAGUUAAAGAAACAAUCAACAAAGACAACCUUGAUUUGGAUAUCAUGAGGUCUGAAAUCCAGAAAGAAACAGAGGCACUGGAAAGAGAGAAAGAAAAGAUCCGGGAACAAACUGAGAUACUAGAAAGAGAUCAAUCUUUUGUGAUAGUAGAAAAAGAAAGACUUGAAAUGGCAAAGGCGGAACUCCAACAAAAGCAAGACAAAGUUCACGGUCUACAGAGCGAUUUGAACAGUGACAGAGAAAAGAUGGACCAUUUACUUCUUGAAGGCCAAAAGAAAAUCCAAGAACUUCAUAAAGAGAUACAACACAUGGCCCAAAAACAGAAACAACAAGAACUUCAUAAAGAGAUACAACACAUGGCCCAAAAACAGAAACAACAAGAGCUUCUAGACAGUGACCUGAAACGAUUGACUGAUGAUCUCCAAAUUGGGCAGGAAAAUCUAAUAAAACAACAGGAGGAAGUUCAACGUUUUAAGAGUGAUGUCAUGAAUAAGAAGGAGGAGUUUAAAGUGAUCAUGGAAAGAAUCUUUGAAGAGACAGCACAGCUUGAACAAGAGAAGCUUGAUAUUCAUGAAGAGCGAAGAAAGGCCUUGGACGAAAGGACGAUGCUAGAAAGAGAUUUGUCGGAAGGAAGGAUGAGAGAAGAAGAGGCCAUGCAAACGAUAAGACACAACACAAAUAUGAAAGAGGCAAUAAAAGAGCUGGUUGAAAAGACACAUCAAGACAUUACAAUGAAGAUGCAAUUCAUAGAGCAGAAGAUUCUGGAUGCACAAAAUCAGACGACUAACUUGGAAUUCCAGCAAAAAGAAAUGGAAGAGCAAAAAUUGGAGAUUGACACACACUUUGAACAAAUACAAAGACACGGAGAAGAUCUGAUCAAUAUGACAUCGGACAUGAUGGUACAAAAACAAGAAAUGCAAAAGAAUUGGAACGAGGAGCUGCUACUGGAGAAACAAGAUCUCAAUACGGAAAAGGAAGCAGUAGUCCGACAAA
rnacentral:lncRNA from 1 species